rnacentral:tRNA from 2 species
GGAAGGGUGGCCGAGUGGUUUAAGGCGCACGCCUGGAACGCGUGUUUACGUGAAAGCGUAACGAGGGUUCGAAUCCCUCCUCUUCCGCCA